rnacentral:rRNA from 1 species
GACGAACGCUGGCGGCGUGCUUAACACAUGCAAGUCGAACGAAGUGGCGAACGGGUGAGUAACGCGUAAUCAACCUGCCCUUCAGAGGGGGACAACAGUUGGAAACGACUGCUAAUACCGCAUACUGAAGGAGGGGAUUGCGUCUGAUUAGCUAGUUGGAGGGGUAACGGCCCACCAAGGCGAUGAUCAGUAGCCGGUCUGGGAGGAAGAACGGGCACAUUGGGACUGGGACACUGGCCAGAAUCCUAAGGGGGGUAGCAGUGGGGAAUCUUCCGCAAUGGACGAAAGGCUGACGGAGCAAAGCCGCGUGAUUGAUGACGGCCUUCGGGUUGUAAAGCUCUGUUAAUCGGGACGCGGUACCGGAAUAGAAAGCCACGGCUAACUACGUGCCAGCAGCCGCGGUAAUUC